AUCAUGCGUGCAAUCUCCACUUUCCCUUCUCUGUCUAUUAUCUGCACGUAGAAGACUCCAAAGCCCUGGAAGAUGGCAGAGCCCCAAGCUGCAAAGAAAACCUGGGUCUAGAAUCCCACUGGCCAUCCAGAAUGCUCAUUCUCAACUGGUGGUCUUGGUGCUGUCCUCCACCGGCUUUCCACCAAAAUACAGUCAAGUGCGAGGCAGGGAAGGAGAUCUCCUAAAGAUACCUACGAAGCACAGAACGGCAAAGAGGAGGAGCGGGACAGCCGACAGGAUGAGCAGCCAACGCCAGCCCAGACUGGGCAUCACGAACACCGCCAGGAUGACCUCGAACACCGUCCCAAGGGCCCAGAAGACCUGGCACAGGAGAAUCGGGGUCAGUCGUGGGGUGGGGAGGGGGUCCCUGGGGUCAGCAAGGUCAGGAUGGCCACCUUUUUCUGCGGUCCAGAGGGCUGGGCUAGGGCCGUGGGCUGUCCAUCUUCCGAGGGUCCUGCCCACACCGAUGAUAUUUGCAUGGCAUUUGCAUAUCCUGCGGGAUGCGCAGCUUAGCAGCUCAGGCUGAGCAGGUAAUACGCUCAGUAUUAUGUGAUGUCAAAAUGACAGUGGGCGCAUUGAGAGGUUUUGGGUUUAGGGUCCCCACCCCCUUUUUAUUUUUUGCAAAAUACGUGUAAUAUAAAAUUUCCCAUUGUAACCAUU